rnacentral:rRNA from 1 species
UUAAGCGACUAAGCGUACACGGUGGAUGCCCUGGCAGUCAGAGGCGAUGAAGGACGUGCUAAUCUGCGAAAAGCGUCGGUAAGGUGAUAUGAACCGUUAUAACCGGCGAUGUCCGAAUGGGGAAACCCAGUGCAAUUCGUUGCACUAUCGUUAACUGAAUACAUAGGUUAACGAGGCGAACCGGGGGAACUGAAACAUCUAAGUACCCCGAGGAAAAGAAAUCAACCGAGAUUCCCCCAGUAGCGGCGAGCGAACGGGGAGCAGCCCAGAGUCUGAAUCAGCUUGUGUGUUAGUGGAACGGUCUGGAAAGUCCGACGGUACAGGGUGAUAGUCCCGUACACCAAAAUGCACAGGCUGUGAACUCGAAGAGUAGGGCGGGACACGUGGUAUCCUGUCUGAAUAUGGGGGGACCAUCCUCCAAGGCUAAAUACUCCUGACUGACCGAUAGUGAACCAGUACCGUGAGGGAAAGGCGAAAAGAACCCCGGCGAGGGGAGUGAAAAAGAACCUGAAACCGUGUACGUACAAGCAGUGGGAGCACCUUCGGGUGUGACUGCGUACCUUUUGUAUAAUGGGUCAGCGACUUAUAUUCUGUAGCAAGGUUAACCGUAUAGGGGAGCCGCAGGGAAACCGAGUCUUAACUGGGCGUUAAGUUGCAGGGUAUAGACCCGAAACCCGGUGAUCUAGCCAUGGGCAGGUUGAAGGUUGGGUAACACUAACUGGAGGACCGAACCGACUAAUGUUGAAAAAUUAGCGGAUGACUUGUGGCUGGGGGUGAAAGGCCAAUCAAACCGGGAGAUAGCUGGUUCUCCCCGAAAGCUAUUUAGGUAGCGCCUCGUGAACUCAUCUUCGGGGGUAGAGCACUGUUUCGGCUAGGGGGUCAUCCCGACUUACCAACCCGAUGCAAACUACGAAUACCGAAGAAUGUUAUCACGGGAGACACACGGCGGGUGCUAACGUCCGUCGUGAAGAGGGAAACAACCCAGACCGCCAGCUAAGGUCCCAAAGUCAUGGUUAAGUGGGAAACGAUGUGGGAAGGCACAGACAGCCAGGAUGUUGGCUUAGAAGCAGCCAUCAUUUAAAGAAAGCGUAAUAGCUCACUGGUCGAGUCGGCCUGCGCGGAAGAUGUAACGGGGCUAAACCAUGCACCGAAGCUGCGGCAGCGACACUAUGUGUUGUUGGGUAGGGGAGCGUUCUGUAAGCCUGCGAAGGUGACCUGUGAGGGUUGCUGGAGGUAUCAGAAGUGCGAAUGCUGACAUAAGUAACGAUAAAGCGGGUGAAAAGCCCGCUCGCCGGAAGACCAAGGGUUCCUGUCCAACGUUAAUCGGGGCAGGGUGAGUCGACCCCUAAGGCGAGGCCGAAAGGCGUAGUCGAUGGGAAACAGGUUAAUAUUCCUGUACUUGGUGUUACUGCGAAGGGGGGACGGAGAAGGCUAUGUUAGCCGGGCGACGGUUGUCCCGGUUUAAGCAUGUAGGCUGGUUAUCCAGGCAAAUCCGGAUAAUCAAGGCUGAGGUGUGAUGACGAGGCACUACGGUGCUGAAGUAACAAAUGCCCUGCUUCCAGGAAAAGCCUCUAAGCAUCAGGUAACAUCAAAUCGUACCCCAAACCGACACAGGUGGUCAGGUAGAGAAUACCAAGGCGCUUGAGAGAACUCGGGUGAAGGAACUAGGCAAAAUGGUGCCGUAACUUCGGGAGAAGGCACGCUGGUGUGUAGGUGAAGUCCCUGCGGAUGGAGCUGAGACCAGUCGAAGAUACCAGCUGGCUGCAACUGUUUAUUAAAAACACAGCACUGUGCAAACACGAAAGUGGACGUAUACGGUGUGACGCCUGCCCGGUGCCGGAAGGUUAAUUGAUGGGGUUAUCCGUAAGGAGAAGCUCUUGAUCGAAGCCCCGGUAAACGGCGGCCGUAACUAUAACGGUCCUAAGGUAGCGAAAUUCCUUGUCGGGUAAGUUCCGACCUGCACGAAUGGCGUAAUGAUGGCCAGGCUGUCUCCACCCGAGACUCAGUGAAAUUGAACUCGCUGUGAAGAUGCAGUGUACCCGCGGCAAGACGGAAAGACCCCGUGAACCUUUACUAUAGCUUGACACUGAACAUUGAGCCUUGAUGUGUAGGAUAGGUGGGAGGCUUUGAAGCGUGGACGCCAGUCUGCGUGGAGCCAACCUUGAAAUACCACCCUUUAAUGUUUGAUGUUCUAACGUUGGCCCCUUACCGGGGUUGCGGACAGUGUCUGGUGGGUAGUUUGACUGGGGCGGUCUCCUCCCAAAGCGUAACGGAGGAGCACGAAGGUUAGCUAAUCCUGGUCGGACAUCAGGAGGUUAGUGCAAUGGCAUAAGCUAGCUUGACUGCGAGCGUGACGGCGCGAGCAGGUGCGAAAGCAGGUCAUAGUGAUCCGGUGGUUCUGAAUGGAAGGGCCAUCGCUCAACGGAUAAAAGGUACUCCGGGGAUAACAGGCUGAUACCGCCCAAGAGUUCAUAUCGACGGCGGUGUUUGGCACCUCGAUGUCGGCUCAUCACAUCCUGGGGCUGAAGUAGGUCCCAAGGGUAUGGCUGUUCGCCAUUUAAAGUGGUACGCGAGCUGGGUUUAGAACGUCGUGAGACAGUUCGGUCCCUAUCUGCCGUGGGCGCUGGAGAAUUGAGGGGGGCUGCUCCUAGUACGAGAGGACCGGAGUGGACGCAUCACUGGUGUUCGGGUUGUCAUGCCAAUGGCACUGCCCGGUAGCUAAAUGCGGAAGAGAUAAGUGCUGAAAGCAUCUAAGCACGAAACUUGCCCCGAGAUGAGUUCUCCCUGAGACUUUAAGUCUCCUGAAGGAACGUUAAAGACGAUGACGUUGAUAGGCCGGGUGUGUAAGCGCAGCGAUGCGUUGAGCUAACCGGUACUAAUGAACCGUGAGGCUUAACCU